CACAAUGCAACGCCGCGCGUACUCUGGAGACCCUUUUUUUUUUUUUUUUUACACACCUGAAACUCGGUGAGGCCUGUGGUUUCGACAGGAGUCGCGUUUGCUGAUAAGCAAACACACACACAGGCACAGUGAGGCGACAAAAACACACAGAUGACUGCAUCGCAGCUGAAUUUGGCUGCUGAGACGUCGUGCUCUGACCGUAGCUGUUACGGUGGCUUUCAUCCACAGUUGGCAGCUUCAUCCUCCUCCUCCUGGCGUCCAUUCAAUUCCUCUCUGAGGCCUGUUUGAUUCAAACGAGGCCACGGCGGCGGGUCAUUCCUCUGUGGGCCAUGUGACGCUGCAACAGUCUGUGAAGCAGCCACAGUCGUAGACACAGUCGCAGACAGUAUACAAAGGUGGAACAGUUUGUGUAAGAAGAUACAGACGAUGUCAUCAUGGGGAUUUUUUUUUCAGUAAUUCCAACAGAACUGAAUAUCUACUAAUAUCUAAAUGAAGCAUCAUCUGCAAGAGGAGUGACGGCGAGAGCAAUGCAACGAGAAGAGGCUACGUACCGUGCUCCUCGGCUCCGCAGCGCACCGACCGACCGACCGACCCUCGCCCCUCAGAUCGGCAGAGGAGCGAACAGCGCCGCAGUCUCCGUGGACGCUGCCAGAGAGCGACGCUGCACUGGACACUGACUGGCACCAACUUUGGGAAUCAUCCAGCCCGC